GCACUGAAUACCAGGAAAGUCAGGCACAAGAACAGUUUCUUUCCCCAGGCAAUCUACCUCAUGAACAGUUAAAUGUUCUCCCAUUGUGCAAUAAAAGUAUGUGCAAUAACCUUAUACUGUACUUAUUUAUCACCCUACAUCCUAGUACAUCCCUACAACUUUUUUUUUCUAUUUUUUUUUAUUCUAUUCCUAUUCUAUCUACAUACACUUUUUUGUGGUUUAUUUAUAUUUACGUAUGAGUAUUUUAUUCAAAUAUUAUUUUUAUUAUCUGUGUUUUGUUGUCUCUGUUUACUGGAAGCUUGAUACACUAAAACAAAUUCCUACUGUAUGUGCAAACAUGCUUGGCAAUAAAGCUCUUUCUGACUUCUGACUUCUGACUCUGAUUGUUCCACCAGGAGCUGGCUCAAGCCCUGCUGUGUUACGCUCAUUUAAAGAGCACAGUGACCCUGGAACUCACAUGGAACAUGGCCCCAUUCAGUGUAAUACAAAACACCCCAACACAAUAUGGUCACCAGAAGAAAAAACAAACCACUGCCUGAACCAACUAUAUAAACAGCCAAUGCUUCAUCAGUAACUGAAAAUCUUCCAGGAAGCUUUUCCUGGAAAAGGAGACCUUGUCCAUGGUUCUCCAGGGGAUGUUGCCCUAAUUUUGGAUGAAAAUAGUGAUCAUUAUCCAGAGACAUCAGAUGCAUGGCAAAAAUCAGUCUGAGCCCUGGGCUGAAUUAAUCCAAAACAAAGCUUUCUUUGGCUUGUAUAAUAAUUUUGUUACUGAAGUUUUGUUUACAUUGUUCACGAGCAGCUGAAGGUUGUCAACUGAUGUGGUGAGAAUGAGAGAGCGUUUUGACCUAGAUUGUGGCGUGCAGUGAACGUUGUGUUGAGAAGCCAAGGACUUUGAAAUCUUUGAGUACAUGGAGUCUGUAGGUAAGCGGGCAUGUCACAGCCUGGUCUGUACACAUCCUGUAACAUUCAAAGAGAGCUAUUGCUGACCUGACUUGUCCUCCAUCCUGGUUCUUUUUGUCCUAUAGAAAAAUGAUGUCAGAAGGAUUUAUGGUAAGUGUUGGCCCUGCUUGUCCACAUCAUUGUGUGUGUAUUAAUUGCCCAAGCUUGACUCUCAGAAUUGCAAACGGUUCAUUUUGCCUAUUGUAGUCUAGCAGCAGCCCAGAUGAAUUGACUUAGAGCAUGUGUUUGAAGGCAGAUCAAGUUUUUGGACAAAUGUGAUUUUGACUCUUGCAAGCUGAAGCACAGAUGGUACAGGAUUGAAAAGUGAGUACAUUGUUUGAAGUUCAAGCACAUGUACCAUGUGACUGACUACAGGCAUGUGAGUGUCAGUGCACAUUGGAUGUGCAUUAGGGUUUCCUGGGAUCAGGAGAUUUCAAGAGGAAGGAGGAGGCAUAUGUAGACAGUUACACUGACCUGGUUCCUGUUUAACCAGGAAGAUGUUUUUAUAAGAUUUGUAUAAAUUAUUUAAAGUUAUGACUUAUUGACGUGUUGCAGAGGAAAACAAUCCAGGAUGUAGCUUUUAAAUAAGACGUUAAAAAUGCAAGUGGUGUAAUUUUUCUACUUCACUCUUUCUGAAAUGCACAGAAAGCAAUUAUCUGUAUGUGUGUGGGUAUCUGUGAAAGCUGCACAGAUUGCAGAAAUCCCACUCAGCCAAGGAAGGGGGCGGUGGGGGUAUCAGCGAGAGGAUUCUUAUAAACACUUAAGGGAAACAAUCCCAGUGCUCAAUUUCACAGCCAAGAAAACCAGCACAUGGUGUGAAAAGUAAUGCUUUAAGCAUUGUGAACUCAUUUGAAUCCCCUGACUCGUAUUCCUGCCAGAGACAUAAUGGAGGCAGACAGCAUGUGCAAAAACAGUCUUAUUCUCAAUCCCCAUCAACAGGACGUGUAAGAGAAAGAAAUGCUGUUAUUAUAGUAUAAAGUACUGGCAAGAUGCAUUAGUAAAAUUCAGCUGAUUUAUGUAAAACCAAAUAGUGCAUUUAGAAUAAGCACGCUGUGUUGAGUUCUACUGGGCACAUUUACCUAUGACUUUUUACACUAACCCUCAUAAUGCAAUUAUAAGAUAUAAAAGUAAACACAAUACUUUGAUCAAAUUUAUAUGAUUGCACUUAUAAUCGUAACAAUUAUAAUAGUAAAAUAUGUGGGUCUUGCCCAUUUUAAUCACAGUAAACGGGCAGGUAAACCUUUGCAUGUUUUCCACGUGCCAAAGUGCACGUGCUUGUGAUGUACCCAAAUGGUGUGUCAUGCAUAAAUAUAAUGCAGUAUAUUGAUGGUUGAAAACAUCAAAAUGGAGACAUUUUAGGAAAAACACUGAUAACAGAGAUAAAAAUAAGCUCAAUACACACACACUCUCUCAGAAAUAAAGGUACAAAAACUGUCACUGAGGCAGUACCCUUACAAAAGGUAAAGCUUUGUACCAUAUUAACCACAAAUAGUUUGCAUAAUAGUACCCUACAUUUUCAUAUUAGUAACUAAGUGUACAUAUUUUUAAUUUUUUAAAAACAUGUCAAUGACAGCUUUUGUACCCUUUUUUUUUGAGUGUCAGAAAAAUUGCAUGUAAACAAGAGAGAAGAGGUUUAGCUUGUGUCACAUAAACAUCGAACUGCAUUAAAACCUUACUCUGAUUAUUGGAAAUUAUCAUAUUAUCUGUGCACAUGUAAACAUAGUCUAUGUUCUUAUUUUGUUCCAGUACAACCCCGAUAAGGCAUAAUUGAAUGGAUCAGGUCUUGUGCUACCCAAAGCUCUGAAGAUCCAGAGCUUAAAAGAUUUGUUUCUUGUUUAUGAUUUCAUUUCAGUCACGUAAAAACACUAAUGUAACAGAUUGUUCUUGAACUAAAAUCCGUUUCAGCAGAAAAGAGCAUGAGAAAAACUUUCAGAGUACAAACAUCCCGUAGCAGGUGUUUGUGUUUUCCAGAAAUCCAUGAGUAUUUCUAUGUUUGGCGGAUUUAAUUUGGGCACUGUUUUUGUUCAAAUGGAUUAUGACUUACCACCCUGUUCUCACUGACUAGCUAUGUUACUCCAAAAACACAAACUGAAAUGGUCAAGUGACUGCAUGCCUUCUAUCCUUCUGUUUAUAAUUUGUUUAUAUUCUGUAUUUUAAAAUGUUUUAUUUUUUAAAUGAAAAUCUCAAAAGGCAAAUUCAUACCUUGAAAAAAAAAUAUUGUUUAAUUUAAUUACUGCAUUCAGAAAUGUUAUGAAAUUCAUAAUAUUUAUUAAUAAUUAAAUUGAAUAAUCAGUGGCUAAAAUGUUACUGCGAAUACUUCAAGUAAAUAGGUCAAAGUGGUUUAGCUGACUCAAGAGGUUGGGAACCCCUGUUAUUAUUAUCUCUUUAUUUGUAAUCAUCCAUUAUUAAUGGAACAAAGGUUAUUUUAAAGAUUAUUUUAAAAUAUAGUUAAUAACCAAGACUCCAGGAUUUGCACUGUAUUGUACAGAAGAAUAAAGAUAUAACAAAUAGUACAGCAGUGCACAGUGUGUGACAUAAACUAGAGUUUUACAGAUUUAGGGACCAAUUAGAUUAGAUAAAGCCAGUUGCAUCUUUAAAGAUUUUAUUAUAACAAUCUUCUGGAAUCUAAAAAUUUAAAAUGUGUUUACAUGGUAUCUGGUAUAUUUAUAAGAAAAAUCACUUGCAGCUUUCAUAUUUAUGACAAAUUCUGUAAUGUUUUCUGUGUCAAAUCAUCCGGUUGUAACCUAGAACAGCCGUUUUCCUGGAUUUGUUUAUGUGUGUAAGCCUGUGCCUUGGGAUUGAUCCCUUUUUAGAUUGUUUUCAUAUUUUUGCACAUGAUGUGCUUAACUUUUACUUAGGCCAAUUACCGGGAUGUACAUUUACACUUCACCAGAUUCAUAUCCUGGGAGACAUGCUUGGAGGCCUGCUUGUUUGCAUACUGUAUGCCUAAACACACACUCAUAUCGUGCAGAUCUCUCUCAUGUUUACUGUACAUGAUGCACAUCAUGUUCUAACUGACUAAACAUUGAGGGGGGGAAAUGUAGAAAACAGCAUGGGACAAACUGAGAGAUAUAGAUUUGAAAGAUAUGAAGCACACAUAACUAUGAGCAGAGUUUUAAAGUGAGAGAAGAACCCAAAUCAGGGUCGAUGGAAGGAAGAUAAAGGAAAUGGGGCAGAGAUAAAAAGUAAUGAGGAACGCAAAAAAAAAAAAAAAGAUUGUUUGUUGCAGCUUCAUUAUGGAACAUUCAGUGCAGAAUGCAUUUCAGUCGCAGAUGAUAUCACAUUUUAGUGUGAUUUUGUGUUUAUUUGUAGAAACUCAUUUGUCUUUGUGUAUCAUUAUGCUUGUGUGAGUUUGUGUGUGCGUGGGAAGGGGGGUUGCAGAUUGUACAAGUUGUGCUGUGUUUGGCAGAUGUCCAUUAUUUACUCUGCAGUAUAUGUCUGACAGAUCCCAAGAACAUGCUGUCCCAGGAAAGCAGUUUUUUCCACACAUCUCUCUCUCUUUCUCUCUCUCUCUCUUCCUUUCUUUCUCUGUGUUUGAGAUGAGCAGGGAGCUGAAUCAAGUCUUUGUCCUUAGCCUAAGACACUGAAGAGGAUUAUCUAUAUGAAGGAGGGUUGCAUCAUAAGGUCCAUCAUGUUGACGUCGCAUCACCAACCGAAUGCUAUGCUUUAUCCUGGUAGCCCCUCUAAUUUGUGAACAGUGUUAUAAAGUAAAACAAAGCUCUUUUCAUCAGAAAGAUACAACAGCAAAAUAAGAUGAUUACAAUAUAUUCAGUUUCAAGGUCACCCAAGCACCUGAUCUCACCCACUGUCCUGUUAGUGUCUGCUCUUGAACACAUUGCACAGUAGUUUAUUAACAAAAAGUUUAUAUCUACAGGCAAACAAAAAUCAUUCACUUUUACUGAGAAUAUUACAAUAUUCAGUAGUAGCUGACUGGGUUUAAAUGUACAGGUGUCCGUUUCAGGUAAUAACUGUAGUUUGUUUUAGCUAACGGUCAAUUAUAAGCACUUUGAUGCAGUUUCAUGUAUAUAAUUUGAGGAGAACUACUGUAUAUCUAAAACUAUGAUCUGUGACAUAAAAUUAAAUGCUGCCAAAAUGUCCUAAAGUCAACACUUGCUUUGCCAAUAAAGUGUCGUAAUCCUUAUGGGGUUAUGUAAGAUGCAGUCAUUCAGGUGUAUGUCCUAGACAUUCUCAACCUGAAUGAUAGUGUUACCAAUGUUACUGUAAAACAAGACAAGGCUUAUUGAAGUCAACAUAAUGUUUUCCUUCUGACUCAGUUAUUGUGUUACAUAUGAAUAGGUACACUUAUUUUUCAAAGCACUUGGAAGAAAUAAAUGGCUGGUUGUUUUAAUAUUGUGUGUGUAAAGCUCACCUGCAGAACUUUAGCAACAUUAUCAACCCGCAGCAAUAUUAUCUGGCAGAUUGUGGUUGAGAGGAGUGGUUUAAGUUAGGAAUAUCUUGCCUGUGGGUUCUUCUUUCCCAUUCAGGUCCUUCAAGAAGAAAGAAGAUUUGCAUAAUGGCUGUUUUGUCAUUUCUGCAAUAUGUAAAUAUGUUUUUCAAUAAAAUGGUUUGUCCCUUUC